GACGAACGCUGGCGGCGUGCCUAAUACAUGCAAGUCGAACGAGAGCGACCGGUGCUUGCACUGGUCAAUCUAGUGGCGAACGGGUGAGUAACACGUGGGUAACCUGCCCAUCUGAGGGGGAUAACAUCCGGAAACGGAUGCUAAAACCGCCUAGGUCUUCGAACCGCAUGGUUUGAAGAGGAAAAGAGGCGCAAGCUUCUGCUGAUGGAUAGACCCGCGGUGCAUAAGCUCGUUGGUGAGGCAACGGCUCACCAAGGCCGUUAUGCGCUGCUGACCUGAGAGAGGGGUCAGCCACGUUGGAAUUGAGACACGGUCCAGACUCUUAAGGGAGGCAGCAGUAGGGAAUGUGGGAGAAUGGACGCAAGUCUGACCCAGGCAGACCGCGUGGGUGAAGAAGGCCUUCGGGUCGUAAAGUCGUGUUGUUGGGAAAGAACAGCAGCGGGGUGAUAAGUCGCGGCGCUGACGGUAACUAAAGAAAAAGCACCGGCUAACUAAGUG
rnacentral:rRNA from 1 species